AUUGAACGCUGGCAGCAGGCUUAACACAUGCAAGUCGAGCGGAGAUGAGGUGCUUGCACCUUAUCUUAGCGGCGGACGGGUGAGUAAUGCUUAGGAAUCUGCCUAUUAGUGGGGGACAACAUUCCGAAAGGAAUGCUAAUACCGCAUACGUCCUACGGGGGAAAGCAGGGGAUCUUCGGACCUUGCGCUAAUAGAUGAGCCUAAGUCGGAUUAGCUAGUUGGUGGGGUAAAGGCCUACCAAGGCGAGGAUCUGUAGCGGGUCUGAGAGGAUGAUCGGCCAGACUGGGACUGGGAAACGGCCCAGACUCCUACGGGAGGCAGCAGUGGGGAAUAUUGGACAAUGGGGGGAACCCUGAUCCAGCCAUGCCGCGUGUGUGAAGAAGGCCUUAUGGUUGUAAAGCACUUUAAGCGAGGAGGAGGCUACUGAGACUAAUACUCUUGGAUAGUGGACGUUACUCGCAGAAUAAGCACCGGCUAACUCUGUGCCAGCCGCCGCGGUAAGAC
rnacentral:rRNA from 1 species